rnacentral:rRNA from 1 species
CACAUGCAAGUCGAACGGAGUUAUCGAGAGCGUUGCUUUUGAUAACUUAGUGGCGGACGGGUGAGUAACACGUGAGCAUCUGCCCUUAAGAGGGGGAUAGCAGUUGGAAACGACUGAUAAUACCGCAUAAGAUAGUAGUACCGCAUGGUACAGCUAUAAAAGAUUUAUCGCUUAAGGAUGAGCUCGCGUCUGAUUAGCUAGUUGGUGAGGUAACGGCUCACCAAGGCAACGAUCAGUAGCCGGACUGAGAGGUUGGACGGCCACAUUGGGACUGAGACACGGCCCAGACUCCUAUGGGAGGCAGCAGUGGGGAAUAUUGCACAAUGGAGGAAACUCUGAUGCCAGCGAUGCCGCGUGAGGGAAGAAGGUUUUAGGAUUGUAAACCUCUGUUGACAGGGACGAUAAUGACGGUACCUGUUGAGGAAGCUCCGGCUAACUACGUGCCAGCAGCGGC